AGUCUGACAGAUUUUAUUUUUCAUAGAGUCAUGCUGGUUUCUAUUAAUCACUGCAUUUCCUUCAAGAUGCUUGCAGAUGGAUUUUUUAAUAAUUUGCUCCAGAAUUUUUGCAGAGAAAGAUGUCAGACUAACUGACAUAUAUGUCCCAGAUGCAGCUUU